GAAGAUUGGAAGAUGAAGUUGAGAAAAUAUCUCAGCAUGCACAACAAAAAAAGGAACAAAAAUAGAAGAAACAAGAUUAUGAGAGCAACCCAUGAAGUCCAACAUCUGAAAAAUGAGAGUUACAGAAGAAAAAAUGGACAAAAGAGACAGGGAGAUCAAAUUGUCAAAGCAAUUAUACAUUUUCCCAUAAUUGAAUGACAUGACUUUACAGGUUAAAAGGGCUCACCAAUUGUCUGUUAUGAUAAUGAAAAUAUGACUCCACAACCAGUAAUGGAUUAAAUAUAUCCCGAAAUCUUCUACUGAGAUAAAAGAGGUCAAAUACAAAGGAUGUAGACUUUGAACUUCUUUACAGCAACCUUGGAAAUAAGAAAACAAGGAAUGAAUGUUUGCAAAAUUUUAACAACUAAUCAUCUCCAACUUUGAAUUCUAUACACAGCCAUUGGACUAAUCAAGGAAACCCCUGAGACAGGAAAUAGGGUCUGGAGGCGGUGAACCUAAUGUCUUCCGAGAACUAAUUUAAAUGGAAUUAAAUUAAACUUUCUAAGCCCAGAUUUUGAUGUCCCAUUGGCUGUCUGGUUCAGAAUUCAUAAUGCUUUGUCGGCGUCUCAAGUUAAGUUUGGAGAAGAACAUGUCCAAAUUCUCCAUUUCACCUCCAUUCAAUGCAACUGUUGGCAGCAUGGAAAUUCUCUUCAAGGUAAACAUGAAGAAACCCUAAGGAAAUAAUACUUGCCCUUCCGUUGGGAUAAUUACCUGGCAACUGUAGACA